rnacentral:rRNA from 1 species
GACGAACGCUGGCGGCGUGCUUAACACAUGCAAGUCGAACGGAAAGGCCUUUUCGGAGGUACUCGAGUGGCGAACGGGUGAGUAACACGUGGGUGAUCUGCCCUGCACUCUGGGAUAAGCCUGGGAAACUGGGUCUAAUACCGGAUAGGACCGCACUUUAGUGUGUGUGGUGGAAAGUUUUUUCGGUGUAGGAUGAGCCCGCGGCCUAUCAGCUUGUUGGUGGGGUAAUGGCCUACCAAGGCGGCGACGGGUAGCCGGACUGAGAGGUUGGUCGGCCACAUUGGGACUGAGAUACGGCCCAGACUCCUACGGGAGGCAGCAGUGGGGAAUAUUGCACAAUGGGCGCAAGCCUGAUGCAGCGACGCCGCGUGGGGGAUGACGGCCUUCGAGUUGUAAACUCCUUUCGCCAGGGACGAAGCGUUUUGUGACGGUACCUGGAGAAGAAGCACCGGCUAACUACGUG